UACAGAGGGUGCGAGCGUUGUUCGGAAUUAUUGGGCGUAAAGCGCGUGUAGGCGGCUUUGUAAGUCGGGUGUGAAAUCCCUCAGCUUAACUGAGGAAGUGCGCCCGAAACUGCGAGGCUUGAGUGCCGGAGAGGAUGGCGGAAUUCCCCAAGUAGAGGUGAAAUUCGUAGAUAUGGGGAGGAACACCGGUGGCGAAGGCGGCCAUCUGGACGGUAACUGACGCUGAGGUGCGAAAGCGUGGGGAGCAAACAGG
rnacentral:rRNA from 1 species